GAGACUUCAUUUGCCUCUCUGUCUUUUCCUCUUUCCAGCUCCCGGCUUUCCUCCCCUCCCCCUCUCUGCGGACUGAGUUCUUCCUUUUCACACCGAGUGGCCUUGUUGUCGUCGCGGAGAUAUUUCCUACUGCUGCUGCUCCUGUCGCCGUCGCCGCCAUCACUGGGCUCAUUUGCCCCCUUCCCUUCCCGCCGCCCCGUCCCCACCCCACACAAGAUGUCCGAGGAUCUAGCAAAGCAGCUGGCAAGCUACAAAGCUCAACUCCAGCAAGUGGAAGCUGCAUUGUCUGGAAAUGGAGAAAAUGAAGAUUUGCUAAAACUGAAGAAAGAUUUACAAGAAGUCAUAGAACUAACCAAAGACCUUCUGUCAACUCAACCUUCUGAAACUCUUACAAGUUCAGACAGUUUUGCUUCUACUCAGCCCACUCAUGCAUGGAAAGUAGGAGACAAAUGUAUGGCAAUCUGGAGUGAAGAUGGACAGUGUUACGAAGCGGAGAUUGAGGAGAUAGAUGAAGAAAACGGCACCGCUGCAAUCACCUUUGCUGGUUAUGGCAAUGCUGAAGUGACACCACUGUUGAACCUCAAGCCUGUAGAAGAAGGGAGGAAGGCAAAGGAGGACAGUGGCAACAAACCCAUGUCAAAAAAAGAAAUGAUUGCCCAGCAGCGUGAAUAUAAAAAGAAGAAAGCUUUGAAAAAAGCACAGAGAAUAAAAGAGCUUGAACAGGAAAGAGAGGACCAGAAGGUGAAAUGGCAACAAUUCAACAACAGAGCCUAUUCGAAAAACAAAAAAGGCCAGGUAAAGAGGAGUAUUUUUGCUUCACCUGAAAGUGUAACUGGCAAAGUUGGAGUAGGAACUUGUGGAAUUGCUGAUAAACCUAUGACACAAUAUCAAGAUACCUCUAAAUACAAUGUCAGGCAUUUAAUGCCUCAAUAAUCAGAAAAACUGUUGGAUUUCAUCUCUGCAGGGCUUUACAUUUACCUUUUUAUCCUUAUAUUUUUCUAAAGGAUUUUUGAGUUGCAAGUUAAACUGAAUUUUUACUGCAGUGGAGAGGAAGAGCAUAGCAGACAAAAUCACAGGUAAUACCAUAGUUUAAACAAUUAAAAACUUGGAGUAAUACAGUUCCUUUACCCUAUCAUUUUUUAAAAAAUAUUUAUUUAUUUGAAAGAGUUACACAGAGGAGAGGCAGAGAAAGGUCUUCCAUCCGUUGGUUCACUCCCCAUAUGGCCACAAUGGCUGGGGCUGCGCCGAUCCGAAACCAGGAGCCAGGGGCUUCUCCGAGUUCUCCCACAUGGGUGCAGGGGCCCAAGGACUUGGGCUAUCUUUUUUUUUGACAGAGUUAGAGACAGAGAGAAAGGUCUUCCUUCCGUUGGUUUACCGCCUCCGCCAAGUGGCUGCCACGGCUGGAGCUAUGCCGAUCCGAAGCCAGGAGCCAGGUGCAGGGGCCCAAACACUUGAAUCAUCCUCCACUGCCUUCCCGAGCCACAGUAGAGAACUGGACUGGAAAGGAGCAGCCGGGACUAGAACCCGGCGCCCAUAUGGGAUGCUGGCGCCGCAGGUGGAGGAUUAACCAAGUAAGCCAUGGUGCUGGCCUGACUUGGGCUAUCUUAUACUGCUUUCCCAGGCCAUGGCAGAGAGCUGGAUGGUAAGUGGAACAGCCAGUUCUCGAACCGGUGCCCAUAUGGGAUGCUGAGACUUCAUCCAUGUAUGUGUGUAGAUAAAUUCUUAGGAAACAUCUUAAGAGGAUCAGAAACCAGUAUUAUACAAAGGGUAUUCUAAAGAUUUGUUUUAAAAAGAAGAUGGUGUUAAGAUUUCUGAGGUUUUUCUUUUGCCUUCUCAGUUUUACAUAAAAAUAUAGUUUUGUGGCUGUGAGUAAAGUAGAUCAGAAAUAUCAGUGGGCUUGUGAAGAGUUGAUUGCUGAACUAGUUAAAAAUAUAAAGUUUUUGGUAUUUAAUUUCUUUCAGUUUUUAGCAAUAAAAGCUGGCAGUUUAUAUCCACUGUGCCACUUAUCAGUUCAUUCCAGACUAAAGUCAUGGGAAUUUUUUUUUAAUUAUUAUUUAUUUAUUUGAAACAGUUCACAGAGAGGGAGGGAGAGAGAUCUUCCAUCUGCUGGUUCACUCCCCAGACAACUGAGUUAGAGGUGGGUGGUGGGGGAGAGACCUUCCUUCUGCUGGUUCAUUUUCCAAAUGACUGUGACAGCCAGGGCUAGGCCAGGCCAGAGCCAGGAGCCACGAGCCACUUCUGCCCCGUUGGGUGGAAGGGGCCCAGGUAUUUGGGCUAUAUACAGCUGCUCUCCAGGUGCAUUAGCAAGAAGCUGGAUUGGAAGUGUUGUAGCUGGGACACAGACCAUAUGGGAUGCUGUCGUAACAGGUGGCAACUUAACUCGCUAUGCCACAAAGUUGGCCCCAAGUUAUUUUUUUUAAGAGCACAGCUAAAGGAGCGGUGGUUGUACUUAGAAAAGGUUGACAUUUUGAAGAGCUACUGAGCUACUUUCUCAAGUUGGGGCCCCAAAUCAUGGUUGUUAUUUUGCUGGCUCAUGAUUUCCCUUUCUUACAAAUUGAUGUGCUUUUGUCUUUUUCCCCUUUCAAGCCCUGUACUUACUUUAGCAAGAUGCAGUGAAUUUCUGACCAGAGAAACAAAGAAUUCAGGCUUAGAGGAAACACUUGACUCCAUAUCCUGGAAAAACUAGAGUUGAAGCCUGAGAUCUGCAGCUAGGCUAGUCUUUAAUAGAUGGUAAUUGUCCAAUUGUUCAUUGCUCAGAAGUAGCUGGAAGGAGUAAGUAUCCCUUUGGUUCUUUUGUCUGGAGUUUUUCUCUCCAAAAGCACUGUCAGCUGUAGUUGGCCUAGCUUUCAGAGUAAGUGUGAUGAAGCUAAUUUACAAACAACUGACCUCUUAAAUUUUUAUAUUUUUACAAUGCUAUUGUGUGCCAUGGUAUGAACAUCUAAAAUAAAUAUCCCAGUUACUGCCCUACCAGUCAUGAUUGUUUAAGCUUUUCCAAUGGCAAAGAACUAAGAGCUUGAAGAAAUAGAAAAAUUCAAAAAUUAGUUGGUAGUAUUUUACAUGUGGUUCAUCCUGUAAUAAUUUCAGACUAUAGAAAGGUGAAACAGAACCAACAUGUGAUAUUGCUGGCUAGUGUAUCUAUUUUGAACUAUAUUACUUUUCAUGCAAGAGGCAGAGACAGAUCCCAUCUGCUGGUUCACUUCUCAAAUGCCUGGAACAUCCAGGUCUGCCAAACAACUCCAAAUCUCCCAUUUGGAUGUUAGGGAUCCAACUACUUGAGCCCUCACCAGCUGCUUCUCAGGGUCUGCAAUGGCAGCAUGGUAGAGCUGGGAAUCAAACCUAGCCCUCUAAUAAGGCAUGCAGGAAUCUUAACUGCUAGGCCGUUAGUAUGAGAGACUCCACAAGAAAACCAGGUUCUAUUAAACCUGGUGUCGAUGCCAGGAAGAUAGCUGAUGUUCCUAUUUUGGCAAGAUAAGCAAUAAAUACUAGAGCACUCAAUUAUGCUGUGAUUACCAAAAUAGGUUCAACCUCACGCUUCUCAAGAAAAGUCUAUAUAAAUGGUAAUCCUAAAAAGCCUGUGUUUAUUUUUUUUUUUAAUUUAUUUGAAAGUUACACAGAACGAGAGGGACAGAGAGAGGUCUUCCAUUUGCUGGUUCACUCCCCAGUUGGCUACAAUGGCUGGAGCUGUGCCAGUCCAGAGUCAGGAGCUUCUUCCAGGUCUCCCAAGUGGGUGCAGGGGCCCAACGACUUGGUCCAUCUGCUUUCCCAGGCCAUAGCAAGAGAGCUGGAUCAGAAGUGGAGCAGCCGGACUCAAACUGGAGCCCAUAGGGGAUGCCAGCACUGCAGGCAGUGGCCUUACCUACUAUGCCACAACGCCAGCCCCAAAAGCCUGUAUUUUAAAAAUUUUAUAGGACAUCAAGUUGACUUGUUCCAAAGAAGUACCUGCUGUGGAUUUAAAAAUUUUUUUUAAUGAACCAAUAUUUAGAAAUAGUAUUUUUCUGCAAAGUCAAAAACUACAAUUCAAGAUUAAGAAUGAUACAGUUAGGGAAGGCUGCAGUCAUUGGGGAAGAAGAGAAGUACAUCUUAAUUUCCUAGUGAUGCUAUAUUUGGGGGGCAGAGGGGACUAAUUUACUGUAUCAGUUUAGAUUGUUAACGUUACAAGACAAGCAGUAUUAAAACAACUUUUCAGGAGGAAACAGACUAUGAAGAAAUUAACUUGUCCAGGGUCUGGCAGAUGUUGGGAUUAAGAUGUAAUUAAAACUUGGCUUUUCCCACAUUAUGAUGUUUCCGGGAGGUGCAUUAGGAAUCUGACGUUGGUUUAGGUAUGGGAUUCAGGAGAUAUAAUAGGAGGAGGGAGAAAUUUGCUUCUUGAACUGAAAGUAGACUCCCUCUCACACCCAAAAAAAAAAAAAAAACAGAGGCUGAAUAGUUUCCACGGGAGAAAUGAAUCAGCAAGCAAUGUGGCCUUAAGAACUUAGCUUUAACAAUCCUGUCUUUUAAAAUCCCUUCAUAAUGUUAAAAGCAGUCAUUGUCAUGAGGCCUACAGAAGACAUUUCUGUAGUUCUCAAACCUAUUAUAUCCGGAAACUAUAGUCAGAAUGGAUUGCACUGGAACCAGAUUUAUCUGAUUGUAUCAUUCAUAGGCAUUUUACAAACAGGUAAAUAAAGUUAAUGGGGACUACACUGCAAAUCCAGACUUCGCAGUUUAUAAGGUGUAUCCAAAAGAGAUGCCCUAAAAAGUGAGAGAAUAGAUUAAAAAUGGAUGUGUCCUACUUUGAAGCAAUUAUCUAUCAAUUAUCUUUUAUUAUGUGCAGUGAGGUUAGGUGGAGUUAUGGAGUACCUACCUAAAUUACAAAACAGUAGCAACUGUAAUUAAGAUGGCCAUUAAUUUUGGACUAAUAUAUCAACACAGAUGUUUUAGUUGCCACUUAAAGUGUGCAUAUUCACACAUAUUUGUGCCUUCAUAGAGAAGAGUGGUACAAAAAUAACUCUGGUUUCAUUUAUUCACAGUUUUUAUUUCUUGCAGUUAACUUCUGGGUCUUCAGAGUCGAUUUGUCUUUUAAAAAAUUAAUACUCAAUGUGUCAUCUACCUUCCACCUCCCUCCCCUCCCCCACCCCAGAAAACAAAAUCAGGAAAGUAAUUCAGGGCAGUUGAGAUAAUGUACCUAUAGGUUUGUAACAAAGGCUUCCCAGCCCAUUAUCCUGUACAUACAAGCACACAACAAAAUGGCAGCACCUCAGGUUUGCCUGAAUGAAGUCCCAAACUGCAGCCCUAAAUGAUGCCACUGAAUGCCAUGGGAGUAACAGAAUGAGACCUUAGUCAUUGGCUUUCAUUUACUUUCCAUGGUCAUUAGCAGUCUUUAAACUGUCUCACUUGGGAAAGUCAAAAGUAAGCAAAUAUAUAGAGCAACAGCUUGACCUGGCCAGGAGUACUUAUGAAUUAAAUCAAAGAUAAUUUACCUGGACCACACAAAUGAAUUUUUGUCAUGUUUUUCAUUUAAGUCCCCAGCACCUGGAGUGUAGCACGUUCUAAUACUGGGCUUCUAAAGGCAUGCAGUUUUUCAUACAUAUCUACUUCAGAGAAUUUCCUCCACUCAAACAUAUAAUCAAGGAAAAGAUUAAAAUUUGGAGGCACAGAAGAGCACAAGAACAAGUGAGUAUAUGCUGAGGCCUUAUGUAUGUCCAAGAUGAUACAGUUCAUGUAUAGUUUGUGUAUAGAAGCAGUGAAUGCUGUUAAAAGUGCUACUCAAAAAAAGGACAGUCUAACAUUCACACACAACUGCGCUGCUAAAUAUGGUUGUCUUUAUUUUGUUUUUCCUGGCCCAGCCCUAUCUAAACAUAAAAUAAAACUAUAGGACUGAAAUUAACAACCCAUUAAAAUCAGCAAUAAGUUAUGAAAAUCAUAAAGCUUUUUUUUUUUUAAGUAAUUAAGGGCAGUUAAAUUAUUUAAAGUAUACAAAGUCCAAACAGCCAGGGGUAAAGUCUCCAAGAAGGCUUCCCAGGGUAAGGGAAAGGGCCAGAAGCGAACCUUGGAGUUUGAAAGACAAGGGGAACACAUGACAUCAAAGUGCAGGCUAGAAAUUUCAC